GAUUUAUAUGCAUGUAUAACAAUAUAUGAUCAAAUUUGUUAAAAAAAAAUAAAAACAAUAUAUAAUCACAGUUUUUUCACUUGAUCACAGUAUAUAAUCACAGUAUUUGACCUUCAAUUAGUUUUUUCUUACGUUGUGAAGGAUUCUCUAAUUUUGAUCAAUUUUGAUAGUAUUUCCAUUUUUUCGCACAAUCAUAAUUAUUUUGUGUCUAUUAGUUAGUAUAUUCUUUUUGAAUAUUGGUUUAGGUCUUUUUUAUUUUUGUCUAUGUGUUGAUUAUUACUGGAAUAUACCCAAGUUGUAUAAUCUCUUGUUAUUUUAGAGCAAGUUUAACUUUCUCACUGCUAAUCUUUUCAUGUUUAUGUUCCUAAGGAAAACACUCAUUGCUACAAGGGUGAACAAUGAUGUGUACUCCUGACUCCUCUUCUGUUGAUGUUCUCUUACCUUGCGAUCUCAGGUGCAUACGUCAAAUGUAGUCUUAAUCCGAAGAACUAUGUUUUUCAAUGCAUAUCGUGAAUGCAAUAGUGACGGUGAUUGUCCAAAUUAUAAUUGUCGUGUUAAGGAAGUUGGAAUGUGCUAUUUUACUAAAUGUUACUGUAUUCGACUCUAAUUUUUUUUUUUUUAAGAAACAAACUACACAUUCUCUCUAAGUUCUCUUUCUUCACUCAAUCAAGAGGAGUGAUUUUGGAACAUUUUUAUCCUAAAAUUUCUCCUAUAUGUAUCUUUGUUCCUUUCUUUUAAUGUAAAUAAGUGGUAUCUACAUAAAUCAUGUUUUUUCUGAACUUUUUUUUUUUUGUUGUCAUCUGAGUACAUUGUUCUGUUGUUGAUCAUCUUGAUGCGGUGUUAUAUAAUUUAUCGUCUUGUUGUUGUGUUUGUUGAUUUAUAUAUUGAAAAAUAAGCUU
rnacentral:lncRNA from 1 species